rnacentral:misc_RNA from 1 species
GGCUGAAGAUGAUUCAUGUCCUGUCUGUUCAUAUCCAUGCCAAAACGGAGCUCGUGGGCCUUUCGUGUCCAGGUGAAAUUCGCGACAUACUGAAACUGAUAGUCGUCGCGAAGAUAGGGCAUGAACUGCUCCUGCACACCCAGCUCUUCAUAGCCGGCAAUCUCGAAGGCCGGCCAGUCGCCCUGCCAUUCCGCGGGUCCGUUAGUC